rnacentral:rRNA from 1 species
CCUACGGGGGGCAGCAGUGGGGAAUAUUGGACAAUGGGCGAAAGCCUGAUCCAGCCAUGCCGCGUGUGUGAAGAAGGCCUUCGGGUUGUAAAGCACUUUCAGUGGGGAAGAAAGCCUUGGGGCUAAUACCCUCGAGGAAGGACAUCACCCACAGAAGAAGCACCGGCUAACUCCGUGCCAGCAGCCGCGGUAAUACGGAGGGUGCGAGCGUUAAUCGGAAUUACUGGGCGUAAAGCGCGCGUAGGCGGUCUGAUAAGCCGGUUGUGAAAGCCCCGGGCUCAACCUGGGAACGGCAUCCGGAACUGUCAGGCUAGAGUGCAGGAGAGGUAGGUAGAAUUCCCGGUGUAGCGGUGAAAUGCGUAGAGAUCGGGAGGAAUACCAGUGGCGAAGGCGGCCUUCUGGACUGACACUGACGCUGAGGUGCGAAAGCGUGGGUAGCAAACAGGAUUAGAUACCCGAGUAGUC